UCUUUCUUAAAGCAUGAACCUUCUCCCUCUGCCACUGGAGAUAUAAAUGGCAUGUUUUCUGUCUCCCAAAUCUAAUAGUCUAAUGGGAAGAUGAUCAUAGAAAGAACUAUCUGUGAUAUAGGUGAUAAAGACCAUUAUAAGGGGACUGAGUAUGAGGCCUCUCUUCCUUCUCUGCCCUGGUGAAUGACUGCUAAAGGAAUUUAAAGCAUGUAAAACACGAUAAAUGUUGAUUUGUUGCCUUGGCCUUCUUGCAGAGCCAUGAUCUGCUUUACAAAAUUCUGUUUGCCUGCUAGAGCUAUGUGGAGAAGCCACGUAAGAGGGAGAGGCCGUGAGAGACAAGCCUGGUCGUCCCAGCAUCCCGGCCAAGUCCAGGUCCCUGAUGACCUACCAGCUGGAUAAUCCACAUAGGCAG